rnacentral:rRNA from 1 species
CGCUAGCUACAGGCUUAACACAUGCAAGUCGAGGGGCAGCAUGGUCUUAGCUUGCUAAGGCCGAUGGCGACCGGCGCACGGGUGAGUAACACGUAUCCAACCUGCCGUCUACUCUUGGACAGCCUUCUGAAAGGAAGAUUAAUACAAGAUGGCAUCAUGAGUCCGCAUGUUCACAUGAUUAAAGGUAUUCCGGUAGACGAUGGGGAUGCGUUCCAUUAGAUAGUAGGCGGGGUAACGGCCCACCUAGUCUUCGAUGGAUAGGGGUUCUGAGAGGAAGGUCCCCCACAUUGGAACUGAGACACGGUCCAAACUCCUACGGGAGGCAGCAGUGAGGAAUAUUGGUCAAUGGGCGAGAGCCUGAACCAGCCAAGUAGCGUGAAGGAUGACUGCCCUAUGGGUUGUAAACUUCUUUUAUAAAGGAAUAAAGUCGGGUAUGGAUACCCGUUUGCAUGUACUUUAUGAAUAAGGAUCGGCUAACUCCGUGCCAGCAGCCGCGGUAAUACGGAGGAUCCGAGCGUUAUCCGGAUUUAUUGGGUUUAAAGGGAGCGUAGAUGGAUGUUUAAGUCAGUUGUGAAAGUUUGCGGCUCAACCGUAAAAUUGCAGUUGAUACUGGAUAUCUUGAGUGCAGUUGAGGCAGGCGGAAUUCGUGGUGUAGCGGUGAAAUGCUUAGAUAUCACGAAGAACUCCGAUUGCGAAGGCAGCCUGCUAAGCUGCAACUGACAUUGAGGCCCGAAAGUGUGGGUAUCAAACAGGAUUAGAUACCCUGGUAGUCCACACGGUAAACGAUGAAUACUCGCUGUUUGCGAUAUACUGCAAGCGGCCAAGCGAAAGCGUUAAGUAUUCCACCUGGGGAGUACGCCGGCAACGGUGAAACUCAAAGGAAUUGACGGGGGCCCGCACAAGCGGAGGAACAUGUGGUUUAAUUCGAUGAUACGCGAGGAACCUUACCCGGGCUUAAAUUGCAGAUGAAUUACGGUGAAAGCCGUAAGCCGCAAGGCAUCUGUGAAGGUGCUGCAUGGUUGUCGUCAGCUCGUGCCGUGAGGUGUCGGCUUAAGUGCCAUAACGAGCGCAACCCUUGUUGUCAGUUACUAACAGGUUCCGCUGAGGACUCUGACAAGACUGCCAUCGUAAGAUGUGAGGAAGGUGGGGAUGACGUCAAAUCAGCACGGCCCUUACGUCCGGGGCUACACACGUGUUACAAUGGGGGGUACAGAGGGCCGCUACCACGCGAGUGGAUGCCAAUCCCCAAAACCUCUCUCAGUUCGGACUGGAGUCUGCAACCCGACUCCACGAAGCUGGAUUCGCUAGUAAUCGCGCAUCAGCCACGGCGCGGUGAAUACGUUCCCGGGCCUUGUACACACCGCCCGUCAAGCCAUGGGAGCCGGGGGUACCUGAAGUGCGUAACCGCGAGGAGCGCCCUAGGGUAAAACUGG